GACGGAGGGUGCUAGCGUUGUUCGGAAUUACUGGGCGUAAAGGGCGCGUAGGCGGCCCUGUCAGUCGGGUGUGAAAGCCCGGGGCUCAACCCCGGAACGGCACCCGAGACGGCAGGGCUGGAGACCGGGAGAGGAGGGUGGAAUAGCCAGUGUAGAGGUGAAAUUCGUAGAUAUUGGCUGGAACACCGGUGGCGAAAGCGGCUCACUGGCUCAUUUCUGACGCUCAGGCGCGACAGCGUGGGGAUCAAACAGG
rnacentral:rRNA from 1 species